UUUAAUCUGAAUCUGGAUGAUAGCAUGAGAACGGGAGGAAUCUGAGUUGACUCCAGUCGCCCCAGUGCUACGCUCCUUCCCACCCUUCAAAAUUACCUGGAAAACAAACAGGACAAAACAAAGAUUUACACAAAAACCAUCAAACUACCCAGAAGACAGAAGGAAGAGAUAAAACGAAAGAACUGUAGGAGCCAGAGAAGGCCUCUUUGGAGAAAAACCUGGAACCAUGAAGGCUGAUGACCUCAGCAGAAGAGACUCCAUUCCACAGCUGAUACUCAAC